CUCGGCGGGCUCCAGCCUCAGCUCCCACUGGAGGGCUCAAGGGCCCGGGUAACCGGAGCCGCAGGGAGAGCUGGGAGCCCGCGGCAGAGUCCAGAAGGGGUAGGGAUGGGGUUCUCUUUUCUGCGGUCCUCCCUGUGCCCCCUCCAGGGGCGCCCACCGCAUCUUCACCCCGGAGUCUGCGCCGCGACACUUACCGUGGGCGAGCAGCGCCGAGAGGCAGAGCAGAGCGGCGCCACCGCGGCCCGACAUCUCUGGGGCCAUGACAGAGAAAUUCCAGGCAACUUUAAUCCAUCCGGAGAAGGAAAAGUUUCCGUGCAGUGCUGAGAAGGGAGAGGCGGGUCGCCACCACCUUAGGCGACGCCCGGUUGGAAAGCUCGAGGUGGGCGUCCAGAUGUCUGUCCCCUCGAAGAGCUCGCUCUUGGACUCCAGCGCGCUCCCUCGUCUCUAUCAGGGCCCGCGCUCAGCACAGGCCGGCUCCGCGCAGCCUGGCCCGGCAGCAGCUCCGCGGCUGGCGCGAGGGUGGCGAGGCGGGAACCGGUUGCCCCAUGGAGACAGGGGUUGGAGAAAUGAGGGAGCGGGAAAUCCAGCUACUACGCCCCGACCCGGGCCCGUCCUGCUCGAAGCGUGGACUCCAGCCUCCAACCCAUCAACGCUGCAGGACGGCGAGGGGCUCGGCCAGCGACAGCUCCGGAGCCCCCCUCUCUUCUCUCAGGUCUCGCCUUCUCAGCAGGGGGGCACGCUGCCCAGCCUCACUCCUCGCCUUCCCUGGGGGGACCUGCACAAACCUUGAACUUUUCCGGGGUUCAGCGUCUCCGACGCCUCCUCCUCCCUGCGCCCCCGCCCUGCCCCUGGACGCCGGCUCCUCCACCGGCUCGCGCUGGGAUCCAGUGGGGCUUGUGGCCGCUGCGUUUCUCCCGGGUAGAUGCCACUGCAGUCUCCGAUGUUCCCUUUCAAAGGAUGCAAGCUCCCCGCCGGCGCCGGAGGUGUUCUGCAGCCGUUCUGCCAGAGGCUCGGGUAGGGGCACCCCACCCCCACCCCCAGAGUCUGCUUGGGGCUUUCCAGGGACCCAGAGUGGGAAUCAGCCUAGCUGGUGCGCCUAGCUCCUCUCAGGUCCCGCCGUGUGGGAGCUCUCUGGUUCUGCGUCUUCCUGCGGUGCACGGAGGAGCGGAGGAGAGGAAGGCACAGCCUGGGGCAGACCCAGCCGGCCAGCCGUAGAGGGGUCGGAGAGGACGGGAUGCCUGCCUACAGAUCAGACCGGACAAGUCAACUGUCUAUCAGUCUUUGGAUCCAUGGCGGUGAUUUUACAGCAUCAGAGAAAUGGCAUCUUGUUUAUGGAAAACGGACUUGGAUCGCUCUUAAGAUCCCCCCUCCACCCUGGCUGCUGGCUGUGUCCCUGCUUCAGCUUGGCACUGGGACCCAGGAGACUGCUCUCGCCCCUCCCCAACCCCACAUCUGCCUGGAACCGGAGUACUUCAAAGCUGCCCAGGAGCCUGAAGGUCCUCGGCUUCAGCCCGUUCCCCUGGCCAUCUCUGAAAACUGGCAGGGUCUUCUCUGGUUAGGGUCGUCCAGUGACUCAGACACGGGCUUCUCUCUGCCCUGACUUCAUUUCUCUUCCUUCCUCCCUUCCUUUUAUACCAGCACUGAGUAUCUCCAGCAUCACAGGCAUUAUUGGCCCAACAGUGAGCAAGAGAGAAGUACCCCUUGCCUCAUGAAUUCCCACUCUAGAGGAGAAGGCAGAACACAGAGCUUCUACCCAGAGAUGGCUAUGACUCCUGGUGUUGCAUGCUUUUGCUCAUCUUAAGAAGACCUGUGUCAGGAAGGGCAAGGGAACCGUGAUUUCUGCCCUGCUCUUCCUGUACCUGCCGUGUGGACCUGCCCUUCAUGGACUGGGGCCCCCUGCUGGGUUAAACUCCCAGCUCAGAUUCCAGGACCCUACUUUAUCCACAAGUAAGGAGAAUGUCAGUGGAAGGCCAGCUUGUGGAUUUCCCAGAAUCUCCGCCUUUGGUUCCCCUUCAGACAGCACACUCCUGGUCCUUCCGGCCUUGUGCCCAUGUCCUCUGACUCUAGCUCUCUCCUCUUCCCUCCUCCUUCUGGCACACAUGGACAGGCUUAACACACCCCGUUCCAGCCCACCCGUCCUUUGUCCUUUGAGCCACUCUCCUUCUGUGAGCUGCGACUUUCUCUGCCGAGGGGGUGCCCUUUUGCUAUGCAGGAAGACCUGUUCCUCCCUCUCCAACUCUUCGUGGAGGUUUUUCUGCGAAGCCUGGUUCACUACCUCAGAUGGUAUUCAUCACUGUCCGCCUCAUGGUUAGAAUUCACCCCAGCGCUGUCUUUGUUUCCUCUACUCACUUAUAAAAUCCUUC
rnacentral:lncRNA from 1 species